UACGAAGGGUGCAAGCGUUGCUCGGAAUUACUGGGCGUAAAGCGUGCGUAGGCGGUUUGUUAAGUCCGUUGUGAAAGCCCUGGGCUCAACCUGGGAAUGGCAUUGGAAACUGGCGACCUAGAGUGCGGUAGAGGGUAGUGGAAUUCCCGGUGUAGCAGUGAAAUGCGUAGAGAUCGGGAGGAACAUCCGUGGCGAAGGCGACUACCUGGACCAGCACUGACACUGAGGCACGAAAGCGUGGGGAGCAAACAGG
rnacentral:rRNA from 1 species